rnacentral:rRNA from 1 species
AUUGAACGCUGGCGGCAUGCUUUACACAUGCAAGUCGAACGGUAACAGGCCGCAAGGUGCUGACGAGUGGCGAACGGGUGAGUAAUGCAUCGGAACGUGCCCAGUCGUGGGGGAUAACGCAGCGAAAGCUGUGCUAAUACCGCAUACGAUCUGUGGAUGAAAGCGGGGGACCGAAAGGCCUCGCGCGAUUGGAGCGGCCGAUGUCAGAUUAGGUAGUUGGUGGGGUAAAGGCUCACCAAGCCAACGAUCUGUAGCUGGUCUGAGAGGACGACCAGCCACACUGGGACUGAGACACGGCCCAGACUCCUACGGGAGGCAGUAGUGGGGAAUUUUGGACAAUGGGCGCAAGCCUGAUCCAGCAAUGCCGCGUGCAGGAAGAAGGCCUUCGGGUUGUAAACUGCUUUUGUACGGAGCGAAAAGGCUCUCUCUAAUACAGGGGGCUCAUGACGGUACCGUAAGAAUAAGCACCGGCUAACUACGUGCCAGCCGCCGCGGUAAUAC